AGUAUAUAUGAGAGGUUCUCAUUAUCUGAGGUUGAUUAGUACCAGAAAAAGCUUAAGCUGAAUCCCUUUAAAACAGGGACAAAGAGGACAUAGAAAACGGUGGGAAAUGAAAAGUUCAAUUUAAACUUGGCUUUCAAAAUUAAAACUAAAAAUUAUGAAGGGGAUUUAUUUAUUUUACAUCUAAUACAUUUUAGAUUAUUAUCAUGGCUAUGUGCUAAAUCUUAGAACAAAGAAUUAAGAAAAUAUUGGGGAUUUUUGGUGUAAUUUAUCUAACAAAAUUGCAUCAUAGCACAAUACAAUUAGUUUUACUUCAUGUUUGGGUUUCUCAACAUGCUCAUAAAAAGAAUUUUUUGCGAAAACAUUCAAAGAUUUAUCAAUUUUCUAAAACACUGCUUUUUCUCUGGGAAUUCCAACAUGUCAUUAUUAUUGUCAAUUUUCUUUUCUUCAAUAAUCAACCGAUAAAACCCUGCUAGAAUUUCAUUUGUCAAGAACUUUCUGUCUGACUAUACUGCCAACAUCUCUUUCAUCAGUUAUAAAAUUCUGAGUACUUUCUAAAUUUUUUUCCUUUUUUGCAUUGUUCUCCCAACAUAUUUUUGAUGGAUUAUAAUAUCAGCUCGUUACCAAAGUUACUAUUAAACAAUGACAUUGGGAUUAUGAGUGAAGGUAGAUAUUAAACAAUGAAGAAUGUUGGAAUGGGUCAAUUCAUGUGAUAAAUGGUCAGUUUAUUAGGUUUGUGGUGUGUGUGUGUGUGUGUGUUAUGAUGACUUGCUUCCCUCUGCAGCUUGGCACUUGAAAAGGUUUGGAUAAUGAAUUCUUAGGUUAUGGGGACUCUGUCUCAGUUUUUGUAUUUUUUAAUAGUCACAUACUUAAUGUCUUACUGAAAUAAGUGCUUGGUUACUUUUGACUGAAUAAAGAAUUGAUGGAUCAAGUGAGCAAAUAAGUGGAGAAAUAGGAGGAAAUGAACAACGAUCAGCUCUAGUUUUAUACUGCAGAAUUUACUUUUUGGUAAGAAAGCCACACACAGGAAUAGCUAAUCUCAGUGAGAUAAAACAAACACAACAACAAAGAUGAAAAGGAUGUGAGACUUAGACCUGAUUUCUCCAUUUACAAAACAGCAUCAAUUUGUCCAGGGUUCCUGAUGAAAACGUGUAGGUUCUUGCUGGGUCUGUCCCUUGGCAGAGUAAUGAAGGAGGAAUAUCUAUAAAAAUAAAAAUAAUUGUGGUGAAAACUGGCAUCUACCCUUUUUCCUUAUACACAUUCUUUUAGAAAUUCUGACCUCAGGGAGUCCAGGGGGGCUACAAAACUAAAGUAUAAACACAUCAUCUCAUGGAAACAUUUCCUUUAAGAGUUGGAGAGAAGAAUUAUAUUUUCGAAUAGAAUACAAGCUGGCUAUAUACUUGUAUAAUAAAACUUGUUUUCUAAGAAAUUUUACUUUUGCAGAAGGUCUUGAGGCUACAUCUAUAAGAAGCACCCCCACACACACCCUUUAGGUGCUCCCCUACACUUGAGUGAAAAAUUUUAGAAAACUCUCCAUCUGUCAUGUUAUCCUCUCAACUCUAUUACACAGACAUCAUUAUUUUUGGUUUGCAUAUGAAGAAACUCAGCUAUAGAGAAGUUUUUUUUUAAUUUUUAAUUAUAGCUGACUUACAAUGUUCUGUCAAUUUCUGCUAGACAGCAAAGUGACCCAGUCAUACACACAAACAUACAUAUAUAUAUAUACACACACACAUUUAUACAUAUAUAUAUAUACAUUCUUUUUCUCAAAUUAUCUUCUAUCAUGUUCUAUCACAAGUGAUUGGAUAUACUUCCCCAUGCUGUAAGCAGGACCUCAUUGCCUAUAUUACUAAAUGUAAUAGUUUGCAUCUACUAACUCCAAAUUCCCAGUCCAUCUCACUCCCUCCCCCACCUCUUGGAAACCACAAGUCUGUUCUCUAAGCCUGUGAGUCGCUACAGAGAAGUUGUGGAUGAAAGCUUGCACACUCAUUAGUGACAGAAUUCUGCUUUCCCCAAACUGCAUUGUCGAGUAGCCAAGAUGACCUGUCCUAUAUCCAUGUCCUCCUUUGCAUUUUUCUUUCCCUUUGAGUGAGUCUCCUGUCCAGAUGCCCAUCUCUAUAAGGACUUAUUCCCUAGAUUCCUAGAGAAAACAAUCUAAGGAUGUGUCUUUACUCUUCAGGGCUCUCCAGAGCAGUUGCAUUUGAAAAGAAGACUGCUGGGACAGAGUAAAGGAAUUGCUCUUCCUGGCAUUUGCUCACAGACAGCCUGGGGCAAUGCACUGGGUGUUGGUGCGCUUUCCUCCAAUGAUACUGUAUGAAAAUUUUUAGACAUGUCAGGCCAGUUCCUUUUUAAAGAGAUAGCCAAAAAGACAUCCAUGAAGUAAUGUCCUAGCCUGCCUUCCCAGCAUUCCAGGUAGAGUUGAUGGAGAGGGAGCCAGGCAAGUCAGGGGUCUGCUGACCACAGAGAGCAGAAGCUUGCCUGCUGCCUCAUUUAAUCAACAGAUCUUGAAGCCCAUUUGACAUUAGACACACUUCUAACUCCCAGGGUGAAAAUACAUGAAUACACAAAAGAUGAAAGAUUGAACAAUAUCCUAAAAUAGCUCUAGGGAAGAUUGUUGCCCUGAGGGGGAACUGAGAUCCAUUUCAGGAACUUGUGGAGGCCUGUCGUCUCAGCUGACUUCGAAGCUGAAAUAUUAGCCCUCCUCCCUCGUCUCUGCAACACAAAUAGUAGAGCCAUUACCUGAAGAAGUUGAGUCUGUUGGUCAAUCAUUUUAGAAAACUCACUUGGCUCUUCUAAAACACAGGAAUUUAGGGGUUGAAAACAAGCUUAUGAUCUCCAGGACUGGCCCAGCACUCCAACUUGUGGAUAAACCACAAUAGGACAUAAUAUUCUUUCUUGCUAAGCUCCUAUAUAAUUCUGGUUUGAAUAUGUCCAUACUUGUGGUUUCUAUUUCUGCCCUAGUUUUGCUUCCUAAACUUCAGAAAGUUUGGUUCUGAGUCUCUCUCUUGCUCUUUCUCCUGUGCAUACACACGCACACACGCAUAUACAUAUACACUUUACUUCUUUUAAUAGGUUUUCUUUUUACAUGAUAAUUAGAGGAUUGCAGAAACAUAGGCCAAAGGUCUUAUCUGACUGGCUAAGCAGGGCUUUCUAAUAGAAUUUGUUUAUCU
rnacentral:lncRNA from 1 species